UACGGGGGGGGCAAGCGUUGUUCGGAAUUACUGGGCGUAAAGGGCUCGUAGGCGGCCAACUAAGUCAGACGUGAAAUCCCUCGGCUUAACCGGGGAACUGCGUCUGAUACUGGUUGGCUUGAAUCCGGGAGAGGGAUGUGGAAUUCCAGGUGUAGCGGUGAAAUGCGUAGAUAUCUGGAGGAACACCGGUGGCGAAGGCAGCCCCCUGGGUUAACACUGACGCUCAGGCACGAAAGCGUGGGGAGCAAACAGG
rnacentral:rRNA from 1 species